GCCGAGCAGCUAGCGACUGCUUGUAACCCGAGCGGGGGCAAUAAGGUGGUGUGGAUGCCAAUUGUGGCGCUUGGACCCGGGCCUGGUACUGCAAUCUGUGGCCCGCCCGUUCCAAGUUGGUAGUUGGGUUGUGGCCGCUUUGGCGAAGGCCAUGGCGUCCCUCUCUCUAGAGCGGCGGGCAAUGCGUGAGGCUGGUUUCACAGAGCAGCGAAUACCGUUCGCUUCCAACGGUGGAAGGAUAACGGGCCACUGCACUCUAGGCCCACUAGGCCCAAGUGCUCUUUCUAGCAGACCACCAUUUUU
rfam:Zea mays cultivar B73 chromosome 8, whole genome shotgun sequence.